rnacentral:rRNA from 1 species
GGGUACACGAGCGGCGAACGGGUGAGUAACACGUGAGUAAUCUGCCCUCCACUUCGGGAUAAGCCUCGGAAACGGGGUCUAAUACCGGAUAUGACCACUUCAUGCAUGUGAUGGUGGUGGAAAGUUUUUCGGUGGGGGAUGUGCUCGCGGCCUAUCAGCUUGUUGGUGGGGUAAUGGCCUACCAAGGCUUCGACGGGUAGCCGGCCUGAGAGGGUGACCGGCCACACUGGGACUGAGACACGGCCCAGACUCCUACGGGAGGCAGCAGUGGGGAAUAUUGGACAAUGGGCGGAAGCCUGAUCCAGCAACGCCGCGUGAGGGAUGACGGCCUUCGGGUUGUAAACCUCUUUCAGUGGGGACGAAGCGCAAGUGACGGUACCCACAGAAGAAGCACCGGCCAACUACGUGCCAGCAGCCGCGGUAAUACGUAGGGUGCGAGCGUUGUCCGGAAUUAUUGGGCGUAAAGGGCUCGUAGGCGGUUUGUCGCGUCGGGAGUGAAAACACUGGGCUUAACUCAGUGCUUGCUUCCGAUACGGGCAGACUAGAGGUAUUCAGGGGAGAACGGAAUUCCUGGUGUAGCGGUGAAAUGCGCAGAUAUCAGGAGGAACACCGGUGGCGAAGGCGGUUCUCUGGGAAUUACCUGACGCUGAGGAGCGAAAGUGUGGGGAGCGAACAGGAUUAGAUACCCUGGUAGUCCACCACCGUAAACGUUGGGCGCUAGGUGUGGGGUCCAUUCCACGGAUUCCGUGCCGCAGCUAACGCAUUAAGCGCCCCGCCUGGGGAGUACGGCCGCAAGGCUAAAACUCAAAGGAAUUGACGGGGGCCCGCACAAGCGGCGGAGCAUGCGGAUUAAUUCGAUGCAACGCGAAGAACCUUACCUGGGUUUGACAUACGCCGGAAAGCCGUAGAGAUACGGCCCCUUUNUAGUCGGUGUACAGGUGGUGCAUGGCUGUCGUCAGCUCGUGUCGNGAGAUGUUGGGUUAAGNCCCCGCAANGAGCGCAACCCUCGUCAUAUGUNCCCAGCAANCCUUCGGGUGUUGGGGACUCAUAGGAGACUGCCGGGGUCAACUCGGAGGAAGGUGGGGAUGACGUCAAGUCAUCAUGCCCCUUAUGUCCAGGGCUUCACGCAUGCUACAAUGGCCGGUACAAAGGGCUGCGAUCCCGUGAGGGGGAGCGAAUCCCAAAAAGCCGGUCUCAGUUCGGAUUGGGGUCUGCAACUCGACCCCAUGAAGUCGGAGUCGCUAGUAAUCGCAGAUCAGCAACGCUGCGGUGAAUACGUUCCCGGGCCUUGUACACACCGCCCGUCACGUCACGAAAUGUCGGCAACAC